rnacentral:rRNA from 1 species
CAGCCAUACCGCGUGGGUGAAGAAGGCCUUCGGGUUGUAAAGCCCUUUUGUUGGGAAAGAAAUCAUCUGGUUAAUACCCGGGUGGGAUGACGGUACCCAAAGAAUAAGCACCGGCUAACUUUCGUG